UAGGGAAUCUUCCGCAAUGGACGCAAGUCUGACGGAGCAACGCCGCGUGAGUGAAGAAGGAUUUCGGUUCGUAAAACUCUGUUGUUAGAGAAGAACAGCGCAUAGAGUAACUGUUAUGCGUGUGACGGUAUCUAACCAGAAAGCCACGGCUAACUACGUGCCAGCAGCCGCGGUAAUACGUAGGUGGCAAGCGUUGUCCGGAUUUAUUGGGCGUAAAGCGAGCGCAGGCGGUCAAUUAAGUCUGAUGUGAAAGCCCCCGGCUCAACCGAGGAGGGUCAUUGGAAACUGGUUGACUUGAGUGCAGAAGAGGAGGGUGGAAUUCCAUGUGUAGCGGUGAAAUGCGUAGAUAUAUGGAGGAACACCAGUGGCGAAGGCGACUCUCUGGUCUGUAACUGACGCUGAGGCUCGAAAGCGUGGGUAGCAAACAGG
rnacentral:rRNA from 1 species